UUAACUUGCUAGAGAGUACUGUAUAUAAGUCGAGGCGAAUAUCUCCGUGUUACCGCAGUCCUUGCAGAGUACUUCCAGAGCAGCUUAUCUACUUCUCCCCGACAACAUGAAGGCUAUCGUCGCCGCAGUGCUGCUGCUCGCCGCCGCCGCCGCCGCCGCCCCCAGCCUGCUGCUGGGAGGCGCCGUGCCCGCCGCCGCCAUCGUGCAGACCGCCGGCGUGCCCGGCCUCAGCACCUCCACCAUCAACCUGGCGCCGGUGCUGCCCCUGGCGGCGCCCUCGCUGCUGGCCGGCCACGGCCUCGUGCUGGGCUAGGCCCUGUCCGUCCUCUGUCCGUCCUGCCCGGUUACCACUCUGUCCCUCUUAAUCUUCUUUCUUCCCCUUCUGCGUGUCGGAGGGAACUCAAUAAACUCGUGGGUGCCUA